rnacentral:rRNA from 1 species
AUGGGCCGUCCUAGCCGUGUCCUUCCCAUCAUUUUGGUCCUGCAUUUCAUUCUAUCCAUGGCCAGUCCAUCCCUUUCUUGCGUUAUUCCUUGUGAGUCUGAGAUAAACUUGCGCUUAUACUUGCACCAAAUCGCUGCUGGAUCGGGCACCAACCAGGUAGCAAUUGUCGCAUCCAACCAACCAGCCGGGUUUGGUACGACUGCUGUUAACGACUGGACUGUGAUUGAUGGACCAAACCCCGGUACUGCCACCAUUGUUGCCCGUACCAAAGGCAUGCAUGUGCAGGCUGAUGUAGGCGGUCCAGGCUGGUUCAACUACUUCAGCAUGGUGUUUGAGGACGCCAGGCGCCGUGGAUCGUCAUUUGAAGUAAUGGGGAUGAACAGAGCUCAAGAAGGCGAGAUGGCCAUUAUUGGUGGGACUGGAGAGUUUGCUAUGGCACGUGGGACCAUCAAGUAUAGAGCACUCGCCAACCCCCCUCCAGGCCAAAGUAUUAAAGAACUCAAUAUUCAUGCAUUCUACGUCAAACCAGCUUUGAACUACAUUGACGACCUAUACCUUAUUGUAUCAGAGUCCCUGGAGUUUACCAGACCAACAGAGAUGAAGGUCGGUCAACAAGACACCUGCCCAAAGGACCAUCAGCGAACAAAAUCUCGGUCGAGAGCAGGCAGUCAGGCUACACCACAGGCCCAACAAUUCUCGUUCGAGAGCGACUGUGCUGCUAGUACAGGCAUAGCAGAGACACAGGGCUCUCGGGUGGCAAUGGUCUCCGGCGGCAGCCUCCCACAUCCCAGGGCGGCGGCGAGGGCGAGUUGUGGAGAAUAA